AGAUUAUAAACCUUAAAUGAUUUUAAAUGAUUUCCAGCAAACUCAAAACGUUUUAGCCCUGCUUUUGAGUUUGCUGGAAAUCAUUUAAGGUUUAUAAUUU